UGUUUUGCUGUUGUCGGGUGGAUCACGAUGCAAUUUUGAUUAGUAUCUUAGGAGAAAAAUUGCACGGUAUCCAUCUGUAAACCGCAGG
rnacentral:pre_miRNA from 19 species